rnacentral:rRNA from 1 species
UACGUAGGGGGGCAAGCGUUGUCCGGAAUCAUUGGGCGUAAAGGGUGCGUAGGUGGCGCGCUAAGUCGGGUGUGAAAUUUCGGAGCUUAACUCCGAAACUGCAUUCGAUACUGGCGUGCUUGAGGACUGGAGAGGAGACUGGAAUUCCACGUGUAGCAGUGAAAUGCGUAGAGAUGUGGAGGAAUACCGAUGGCGAAGGCAGCCCCCUGGGAUAACACUGACGCUCAUGCACGAAAGCGUGGGGAGCAAACAGG